AGCCUGAUGCAGCCAUGCCGCGUGUUUGAAGAAGGCCUUCGGGUUGUAAAGGACUUUCAGUCGUGAGGAAGGAGGUGUCGUUAAUAGCGGCAUUGUUUGACGUUAGCGACAGAAGAAGCACCGGCUAACUCCGUGCCAGCAGCCGCGGUAAUACGGAGGGUGCGAGCGUUAAUCGGAAUUACUGGGCGUAAAGCGCAUGCAGGUGGUUUGUUAAGUCAGAUGUGAAAGCCCGGGGCUCAACCUCGGAAUAGCAUUUGAAACUGGCAGACUAGAGUACUGUAGAGGGGGGUAGAAUUUCAGGUGUAGCGGUGAAAUGCGUAGAGAUCUGAAGGAAUACCGGUGGCGAAGGCGGCCCCCUGGACAGAUACUGACACUCAGAUGCGAAAGCGUGGGGAGCAAACAGGAUUAGAUACCCUGGUAGUCCACGCCGUAAACGAUGUCUACUUGGAGGUUGUGGCCUUGAGCCGUGGCUUUCGGAGCUAACGCGUUAAGUAGACCGCC
rnacentral:rRNA from 1 species